UACAGAGGUCUCAAGCGUUGUUCGGAUUCAUUGGGCGUAAAGGGCGCGUAGGUGGCGCCAUAAGUCAGGUGUGAAAUCUCGGGGCUCAACCCCGAAACUGCACUUGAUACUGUGGUGCUCGAGUACUGGAGAGGAGAUUGGAAUUUACGGUGUAGCAGUGAAAUGCGUAGAUAUCGUAAGGAAGACCAGUGGCGAAGGCGAAUCUCUGGACAGUUACUGACACUGAGGCUCGAAGGCCAGGGGAGCAAACGGG
rnacentral:rRNA from 1 species